GCCCCUGUAGACCAAUCGGCAGAGUCGAUGGAUUCAAAAUCCAUACAGUGUGGGUUCGAAUCCCACCGGGGGCAC
rnacentral:tRNA from 1 species